GAUGAGCGCUGGCGGCGUGCCUAAUACAUGCAAGUCGAGCGAACAGACGAGGAGCUUGCUCCUCUGACGUUAGCGGCGGACGGGUGAGUAACACGUGGAUAACCUACCUAUAAGACUGGGAUAACUUCGGGAAACCGGAGCUAAUACCGGAUAAUAUAUUGAACCGCAUGGUUCAAUAGUGAAAGACGGUUUUGCUGUCACUUAUAGAUGGAUCCGCGCCGCAUUAGCUAGUUGGAAGGUAACGGCUUACCAAGGCGACGAUGCGUAGCCGACCUGAGAGGGUGAUCGGCCACACUGGAACUGAGACACGGUCCAGACUCCUACGGGAGGCAGCAGUAGGGAAUCUUCCGCAAUGGGCGAAAGCUUGACGGAGCAACGCCGCGUGAGUGAUGAAGGUCUUCGGAUCGUAAAACUCUGUUAUUAGGGAAGAACAAAUGUGUAAGUAACUAUGCACGUCUUGACGGUACCUAAUCAGAAAGCCACGGCUAACUACGUG
rnacentral:rRNA from 1 species